rnacentral:lncRNA from 12 species
GAAAGGGGGAAUUCUUAAAACAUGCACUUUGCUUGUUACGCUGUACUGUUGUGCCUUUAGAAAGAAGUAGAAGGUAGUUCUCUGUGCCACAAAGGAUUAGGAAGAUCUUUGACGUUGAAAUGUUCUGAAAUUCAUUGAAGAUAUGACCAAGGCAGGGGAGCAAUGCAGAGAAAUUUCCUUUCUAUGGAAACCGAAGGUGUGGUUUGACUGAGUACACCUGAAUUACUUCUGUGCUUUAAGAGUGGAAGCAUGAACAGAAUUGACUUUUCCUUGGGAAACCUUUGACAUUUCACUGGCUGUUAACAUUGUC